AAUAAAUAGAUAGAUGACUAGACAGAUAACUAGAUAAGAUGUUUGGAUAGAUGGCUGGAUUGAUAUAUGAGAGAUAGAUGACUGACAGAUGAUACAUGGAUGGAUAGGUAGGUAGAUAGAUAGAUAGAUAGGAUAGAUAAAUAGAUAGAUAGAUAAUGAUAGAUGUAUGAAUGGAUGGAUGGAUGGAUGGAUGGAUAGGUAGGUAGGUAGAUAGAUAGAUAGAUCAUGAUAGAUGGAUGAAUGGAUGGAUAGGUAGGUAGGUAGAUAGAUAGAUAGGAUAGAUAAAUAGAUA